rnacentral:rRNA from 1 species
GACGAACGCUGGCGGCGUGCCUAAUACAUGCAAGUAGAACGCUGAAGAGAGGAGCUUGCUCUUCUUGGAUGAGUUGCGAACGGGUGAGUAACGCGUAGGUAACCUGCCUUGUAGCGGGGGAUAACUAUUGGAAACGAUAGCUAAUACCGCAUAACAAUGGAUGACACAUGUCAUUUAUUUGAAAGGGGCAAUUGCUCCACUACAAGAUGGACCUGCGUUGUAUUAGCUAGUAGGUGAGGUAACGGCUCACCUAGGCGACGAUACAUAGCCGACCUGAGAGGGUGAUCGGCCACACUGGGACUGAGACACGGCCCAGACUCCUACGGGAGGCAGCAGUAGGGAAUCUUCGGCAAUGGGGGCAACCCUAACCGAGCAACGCCGCGUGAGUGAAGAAGGUUUUCGGAUCGUAAAGCUCUGUUGUAAGUCAAGAACGAGUGUGAGAGUGGAAAGUUCACACUGUGACGGUAGCUUACCAGAAAGGGACGGCUAACUACGUG